rnacentral:rRNA from 1 species
GAUGAACGCUGGCGGCGUGCCUAAUACAUGCAAGUCGAGCGAACGGACGCGAAGCUUGCUUCUCUGAUGUUAGCGGCGGACGGGUGAGUAACACGUGGAUACCCUCCCUAUAUGACUGGUAUAACUUCGGGAAACCGGCGCUAAUACCGUAUAAUAUUUUGAACCGCAUGGUUCAAAAGUGAAAGACGGUCUUGCUGUCACUUAUAGAUGGAUCCGCGCUUCAUUAGCUAGUUGGUAAGGUAACGGCUUACCAAGGCAACGAUGCAUAGCCGACCUGAGAGGGUGAACGGCGACACUGGAAGUGAGACACGGUCCAGAGUCCUACGGGAGGCAGCAGUAGGGAAUGGUGGGCAAAGGGGGAAAGCCUGACGGAGCAACGACGCGUGAGUGAUGAAGGUCUGCGGGUCGGAAAACGGUGUUAUGAGGGAAGAACAUUUGUGGAAGUAACGGAGCACAUCGUGACGGUACCUAAUCAGAAAGCCACGGCUAACUACGUG